GGGGAAUUAGCUCAAGUGGUAGAGCGCUCGCUUAGCAUGUGAGAGGUAAUGGGAUCAAUACCCACAUUCUCCA
rnacentral:tRNA from 1 species